GCCCGCCUAGUCCAAUUGGCAAAGAGGCGCACGGCUUAGGCCCGUGAGGUUCCCGGUUCGAAUCCGGGGGCGGGUA
rnacentral:tRNA from 1 species